GUAACAAGGUCUCCGUUGGUGAACCAGCGGAGGGAUCAUUAGCGAGUUGCCCCGAACUCCCACACCCUUUGUGAACCUAUCCAAUUAUGCCUCGGCGGAGGCGGUAGAGGCCCCGAGGCCUGAAGCUUGGUUACCCUACAGCUACCCUGUAGCGAGUUGCAGUUCCUCUGCAGCGCCUGGGCGGCGCCCGCUGGGCGCGGGGGCGUGCUACCUGUGGCGCGCCCUGUAACGCGGGGCCCAGCGUCCUCCUUCAGGCCUCUCGUGCCCCUACAGCCCGCCGGCGGUCCUCUAAACUCUUGUUGUACCGUAUCUUCUGAGGGCCCAUUGGAAUUGUCAAAACUUUCAACAACGGAUCUCUUGGUUCUGGCAUCGAUGAAGAACGCAGCGAAAUGCGAUAACUAAUGUGAAUUGCAGAAUUCAGUGAACCAUCGAAUCUUUGAACGCACAUUGCGCCCGCCAGCAUUCUGGCGGGCAUGCCUGUUCGAGCGUCAUUUCAACCCUUAAGCCUAGCUUAGUGUUGGGAGACCACCGCCCGUGGCUCCCCAAAGACAGUGGCGGACCGCCGCCGCCCCCAGAGCGUAGUAUUCUCGAUUCUCGCUGCUGUGGGCGCUGCGGCCCUGCCGUAAAACCUUCUUUCUAGUGGUUGACCUCGGAUCAGGUAGGAAUACCCGCUGAACUUAAGCA
rnacentral:rRNA from 2 species